AGAGGCAGCUGGUCUGGACUGGAAUGAGUCCCCCCUUUCUCCUAUGCAAACUUCUGGACCAUGAGCAGCUCCCUUAAAAGGACCAAGAGAGAGGUGCCCCCAACUAAGGUGCUGGACUGGGUUUUUAAGGGGGCCACCUGAAGCAGGACUUUGUCCCGCGCUAAAGUCACCAACUGAGGACAGAAGCAGGUCCCCCAUCUUUGGGAUAUCUCCCAGGUCUGCUCCCAGUAGAAUGUCUGAGAAAUCUUUGAUGACUAGUGCAAUCUGUGAAGGUUACGCACUCGGAGGAAGGGACAGGACACACUGACGGUUUGCAGUGGUGGGAAGAGGAUUCCAUCCAGAGGUGGGAAGACAAGUAAAAUGACUUCUUAGAGCCCCUUUCUGCUUUCCCACCCACCGCCUCCCCUGUCUCAAGCAUCUGAUCCCAGACCUAUUUCAGAAUCUCCUAUCUCUCUGCUCAGCGGAAGCAGUGAUAUGACCUAAUGUGAUCUCAUUCUAGAGCUAAAUAAAACCAUUGUGUGAGACCCA